CUGCAUUCAAAGUCGUAAUAUUCAGUCAGUCGUACACUCGAACUACAAAUUCAACGUAAACUCUACCAAAAGAAUUGUCUUCUUUAACUCUGUCCUGUUGUGCUACUCUUAAACAAUCCCACCCAUUGACAAACUCCAUCUGCCUAUACUAAUUGUUGUAGAACUUCAAAUUCUCAACUCUAUUUUCUUCCCUACCUGGAAACCAACCUCCUCUCAUCUCUGUUAACUACCCUCGUUAUAAUUCUAAUCAUCACUACACAUAAAGUAUCUCAAAAUCAAUUUGGUAAAGUGAUAUACUUGGUUUGUUUAUUGAUUAGGUGCAUGAACAAAGUCAAAAGUCACACUUGCUGAUAUUGGAGUAAUGCUGUGUUCUUAGAUUAUUUCAAAUAGUAAUCAGGUGGAAAUAGGUUGGGACUGCUCUAAUCUUUGUGAUUUGAAUUGAUUUUUGGAGGAUCAUACAGUCCCGGAUUUUGAAAGAUAUAAGACAAGGUCAGAAUUCUAAACCAGACAAGAGUGGUGUUUUCUUCAAAAAAGAAAAAGAAAAAGAAAAAGAAAACAGAUUUUGUUUAAUACAAGAAAUAUUCAAUUUGCAUGCAAGAUGCUACGAAUGUCACAAGUUUUAUCUUCUACCAGUGCCUUUUUGAGUUUAUCUUCAGAUUUAGGGCAACUAGCCAACUGCUACUUGGGAUGUUCUACCAGUAUCUUCUGGUGCAUCAGUAUUUCGUUCAUAUCUAAAUAUUGAAAGGAUUCAAAGUGCCGUAAGUAGAAAAUAUUGUUAUAUUAAGGAAAAAAUUUGACAAGGAAGAACUUCACACCAAGGCUUUCUUGCAACAAUCUUCUCUAGAAGAAGUUAUUCAGGACUCGGCAAAAGAUGCCCUUUUGGGUUCAAAUAGAAGGUGACAUUUCCAUAUUGCUGUCAGAAUUUGGAAUUGGUCAACAUUGAUUUACUAGAGCAUUGGAGAAAAGCUUCAUUUUUCUUCUAUUCCCCACAGAGACAUAUUCCAUUGAUCAGACUACUUAAUUUUGUAUAAUUAAAAUCUUAAGUGAUUCUAAUGAGUAUCUAGACAGAUUAUGUGGUGAAAUUUGAAAGUAAAAGGGUUCCUAUUAAGUAUACUAAGGUGACUGAGGAUAUGUUUAAUGAAAUUUUAAUUUCUA